CUGGGCGCCGCCUGUCAGUGAGCGGGAGCUGCCGAGGAGGCCUGAGGGGCCGCGCCGGGCUGUGCCGGGCGAGCUGAGCAGAAUCGGACCGGGCUGGACCGGGCUGAGCCGAACCGUGCCGGAGCGUGUCUCUCUGAAGCUGGGAAAUGGCAGUGAUGGGAAUUGAAUGCCAGGGAGCUCCUGAUCCAGCCGUCAAGCACAAAAAGGAGCUCACAGCUGCCAAGGGGCUGAAGGAGACAGUGAGUGAAAAGCAGAGCAGUGUUUGCAAAGUAGAAGAUUCAAAGAAGGUCAUCUUUCACAGUCAGUGGAAAAUCCUGAAUGAUGUAAUCACCAAAGGAACAGCAAAAGAAGAAACAGAAGGAGGCUGUGCAUCAAUUUCUAUUAUUGCCCAAGCAGAAUGUGAAAACAGUCAGGAGUUCAGCCCCACUUUAUCAGAGAGAUCCUUUAUUGCCCACAGUAAACGUUACAGCAGCCGCUCGGACAGCCUCGAUCACAUCCCCAACAAUGUGGCCCAUGCCACGGAGGGCAGGAUGGCGCCCACCUGGCGAGGGAGGCACCGGGGCAGGGCCAAGAAGAAACGGCACAAGAAAAGAUCCAAGCUGAAAGGACAACCUGUGGCUGCUGGCAGGAGAAGUCCAAGAACUCCAGAACAGGAGAGCUGCACCCCAAUUCCUGUCCAGGAGGAUGAAUCCCACCAAAGUACUCUUUACAGAAACAGUUUUUGGGUUCCUGAAUUUAACAAAGACUUGGGCUACGAUCCACUGUCUUUUGAGAAGUGUGCUCAUGCUCCUUUGUCCACCGGCAAACUCCAUUCCCCAAGGAGCCAAUACAAAACUGAACUGCACAAGCUGAUCAGCCCUAUUCAGUGCCUUAAUCAUGUUUGGAAACAGAGAGACACUGUUCCCCAGCCUGAGACUCUCCAUCCUUUUCCCUACAACAUCCUUCCCCCCCAUUUCCCACUUGUGGAUAAUCCUCUCCAUGCCAUGAAGCACAAUGCUCUGGACACAUACUUCCAUGGUGACCUCAACUAUCAAGACAGUCGCUUAUCUGGCCUAAACUUAGAAUAUAAUUUCACCAAAUACAUCAACCAGUCUGUGCAAACCAGUUCAGACAAGCUUUCUGUGGAAGAAUAUUUGGUAGAUGCCUUGAAGGGAAGCGUGAGUUUUGGUGAACCACAAAAUUUAGCCAGCCUGGCCAAGACGUGGAGAGGAGGUGGGCUGGAGCUGAAGGAACAAUUCCAUGAAGCGAGUGAAAAUGAAGGCGUGCUGCUGAACGAGAAGUUGAAGCCAGUGGAUUACGAGUACCGAGAAGAGGUUCACUGGACAAAGUGCCAUGGUUCCUUGGGCAUUGGCUCUUUUGGGGAAGUGUACAAGAUAGAGGACAAGCAGACAGGAUUUCAGUGUGCUGCCAAGAAGGUGCAGGUGGAACACUUCCGUGCCGAGGAGCUGACGACGUGCGCGGCCGUGACGAGCCCCAGCGUGGUGCCCCUGUACGGCGCCGUCAAGGAGGGCCCCUGGGUCACCAUCUUCAUGAAGCUGAUGGAGGGUGGCUCAUUAGGGCAGCUCAUUAAACAGAGUGGCUGCCUGCCAGAGGACAGAGCCCUCAGCUACCUGGGCCAGGUGUUAGAGGGUCUGGAGUAUCUUCAUGCUCAAAACAUUCUCCAUGGAGAUGUCAAAGCGGAGAACGUGCUGCUGUCGGACGAUGGGAGCAGGGCCCUCCUGUGUGACUUUGGCCACUCUGCUCACCUGCACCCAGACGGGCUGGGAAAGUGCUUGGUCACAGGGAACUACGUGCCUGGCACAGAGACCCACAUGGCCCCGGAGGUGGUGAUGGGGAAGCGCUGUGACUCCAAGGUGGAUGUGUGGAGCAGCUGCUGUAUGAUGCUGCACAUGCUCAAUGGCUGCCACCCCUGGACCCAGUACUACAACCACCCUCUGUGCCUGAAGAUCGCUAAAGAGCCGCCUCCUCUGAGGGAAAUUCCACCUUCCUGCAACCCUCUCACUGCUGAGAUUAUUAAGCUGGGGCUGGAGAAGGAGCCUCUGCACAGGGCAUCUGCAUCAGAGCUCAAAACUAAGACCUGUGUGGCACUCGAGGAAGUGGGAGGUGUGAGAAGCCCCUGGAAAGGUGAAUACAGAGAGCCCAGACAUUUAUCUUUGAACAAAGAAAACAGUGCACAGACAUCCCUGUCCCCUACAGUGAGCCCAGUUUCUGAGACUGGUUCUGACCCAAAACUGUCAGUCAAAGUUUCCUGUGCCAGCCCAGUCCCACCACCUCCAUCUCUGCAGCAAACAGAGGAGGUUGAGGGAAGCCACUGGAAUGAGGGCAAGGAGUUACCUGAGACCUGUGACCCCCCACCUCUCUCCUCGACUCCUCUGCCCCUGAAGAGCUGCAGCCACAUGGAAAGAGCCACAACCAUUUCAGAGCAAGAACUUCAGCAGCUGGAAAUUGAACUGUUUCUGAACAGCCUUUCCCAGCCUUACUCUCUGGAAGAGCAAGAGCAAAUGCUUUCAUGCCUCAGCAUCGACAGCCCCUUUGUGUCAGAUGCCAGUGAGAAGAACUCCAUGAAGGCUUCUCACAGCUUGAGGGACACCAUGAGCUCUGGGAUCCAUUCCUGGAACAGCCAGGCAGACGGGCAGAGCUCCAGCUGGAACAACCUGCUGAGCCGCAGCCGGCACACGGACACUCCCAGCUACUUCAACGGAGUGAAAAUCCAGAUCCAGUUGCUAAGUGGAGAAAAUUUGCACAUCAGAGAUUUCCACAGGACAAAGGUGGGAGACAUUGCCACAGGGAUAAGCAGCCAGAUCCCUGUGCCUGCCUUCAGCCUGGUGACCAAGGAGGGGCAGCCUGUGCGCUAUGACAUGGAGGUGCCCGACUCUGGCAUCGAGCUGCAGUGCACCCUGGCCCCCGACUGCAGCGUCAGCUGGGCCUGGCGCGUCAAGCACGGCCAGCUGGAGAACAGGCCCUGAAACCCUGCCUGCUUUGGAGGUUUACACCUUGUGCAAAGAAGGAAUUGCAAAAGCUUCUGACCUCCCCUGCCAUGGAGCACCAAGUGCAGUGGCUGAUGUUUGUGCUGCAGCAGGAUCACAGCUCACUGCCCUCGGGCUUCACUUCCGUUGGCUGUUCUGAUGCACUUCCAAGACAUGUCCUGAGCUUAGACAUUCCCCAGGACAGUGGGAAUUUCUUGUUUUGGGUGUGUUAGAGCUUGAGAAUGGUAGGUGGAAAUUCCUCACUUUUCAGAGGAAGGAGGUUGUGCUUUUCAGGAGAGCAGGGGGAUUGCUCUUGCUCCCAGGUGAGGUCGGUCGUUGCUGGGCUUGCCCAGAGGAGGAGGCUGGGUGCCCUCAGUGCAGCUGGGGGUGGUUGUGCUGAGGGGAGAUGGCUAACUUCCUUCCAGCUAGAGAUAAAAACAUUUCUGUAGGCUCUGGGGAGCAUCAUCUCCACCUCAAGCCUUUUGCAUGGGGAGGAUCGACAGCAGCCACUGGCUGGUUCUUGGUUUCACCUCCCACCCUUCCCCGCAGUCGCUUCCUUCUUGAAUCAGAAAAGAACUUUGUUCCCAGAAAGAGCUUUGCUUGCAGCUCCCACCUGCAGGUCUCAGAGGAGCUGGUGCUCUCUCUGGUGUCCCUGGCAGGCAGGGCAGGAGGAGGGUACAGAAUUCCUUUGUGGGAGGGUGGAGGGGUUGUUCUUCCAUCCUGUUCCCAUCUCUGAUGUGGGACUUCAGGUGCACUGUCCCAUCCUUGAUGGAGUAAGGGACAUCAACUCUGUCAAUUGUGACAGGGCUGAAUUUUAUUGCAGAGUUUAUAAAAACCUCCCUCCCAGCUCCCCAGUUCUGUGAGCUCAGCCCAGUGCCCCAGUUCUGUGAGCUCAGCCUGGCCUCACAAGGCUUCCCACUCCUCCCCUCACUUCAGACUGGGAUCACUGAGUGGGAUGGGCAGCUGGGCCUGGAAUGCCUUAAGCUUUGAACUGUUUUUUUUUACUGAUUUGUGAAUGUUUGGAACAUACUGAAACCUCACAGGUCAAGUUCAGGUGGGCGGGUGUUGUUCGCUCUUCUCCAUCCCAGAACAGAUCCCAAGGGAGGUGUGAGCUCCGAGUGUGCUUGUUCAGGGCUGCUCCAAGGCCUGGCACACCUGGAAAUCACAGUCCCUCCCUGUGGCUGUGCUCUCCCAGAGCUCUGUGGCUGCCUCUGAGCAGGGGCUCUGCAUCCAGCCUGGGCAGAGAAACAGCUCCCAAAGGCCAAGGUGGGCUCUGCCAGAUCCGUGCUGCUCUGGGAGACACAACGGGGCAGCAAUUCUGGCAGUGUUCCCAAGAGCUCACUUAGAAAAUAGCUGGGAAAAGCUGAACUCUGAGCCUCCCUUUUUGAGAACCAGCACUCCUUAAACAAUGGAUGCUCUUUCCCUUUGGUCUCCCAGAAUAUGGGCUGGUUUUGCUCCACCAGACAGUGACAUCCCAGAUCAGAAAAUUCAAGUUGUGAUGUAAUAAGAAAGUGGAACUCAUGAAGAAAAAUGAAACCUGUCUCCACUCUGGGUAUAGUUUUUAUAGCACUUUUUGUUCUGAAGCACUUAAUACGUUGUCCAAAAUAGGCACCUAAUUAUAUCUAUAAUGCCACAUUCAGAGUCUUUUUAGUAAAUAAUUAACACAUUAUGCACAUGUCUUCCAGGAGGGAAUGGGGAAAGGGGGAGGAUGGCUUGAUUUCUUUUUUCAGAUGCCAUAGACUACUAAGAGUUUAAGCUCUGGAGCAGGAGGGAUCAAAAUGCCUCUUCCAAGGGUCCCAGAAGCUCCCAAGCACAGUGCAUGCCUGGCUCCUUUCCUGAGCUUCCUCUGAGGGGGCAGGAGGAGAACUGUUGGUUGUUUCUGUGUGUGUGUGUGGUGAUGUGUCAAUCCCAAAGCAUCGUGGCUUCCAUCCCAAAGGCUGCCCCUUGUGCCUCUGUGGCCUGGGGGCUGCUCCCAUGUCCUGGUAUCUGGUUCCAUGCCUGGGCAUUAGGAUUGAGCCCUGGAGCAGCAGGGAGGGAGGGAGCAGCAGGACUGGCUGCAGAACUCCUGGGCUCUGCAUCUGCAGCAUUAACCUGAACUCAGGCCACCUGCACAAGAGCAGCGAACCCUCCUGGGGCCCGGGAUGUCCUCACAGUGUCCAUGGAGGUGUCUGUGCUCCCCUGGUCCAUGGAGGUGUCUGUGCUCCCCUGGCCCAUGGAGAUGUCUGUGUUCCCCUGGGCCCAUGGAGGUGUCCGUGUUCCCCUGGUCCAUGGAGGUGUCCGUGUUCCCCUGGUCCAUGGAGAUGUCUGUGUUCCCCUGGGCCCAUGGAGGUGUCUGUGUUCCCCUGGUCCAUGGAGAUAUCUGUGCUCCCCUGGGCCCAUGGAGAUGUCCAUGUUCCCCUGGUCCAUGGAGAUAUCUGUGCUCCCCUGGGCCCAUGGAGAUGUCCAUGUUCCCCUGGUCCAUGGAGAUGUCCAUGUUCCCCUGGGCCCAUGGAGAUGUCCAUGUUCCCCUGGUCCAUGGAGGUGUCUGUGUUCCCCUGGGCCCAUGGAGAUGUCUGUGCUCCCCUGGCCCAUGGAGGUGUCUGUGUUCCCCAAUACCCUCACAGCAGCAUUAGCCAGGAUUCACCCUCUCUGUUUUGUCCAAAGCCUCCAGUCCUGUUUUGCUGCCACCACAAGUGCCCAAGUGAGGCUGCAGGUUCCCAGCACACAAAGCUUGGCUGUGUCACUGCUCUCAGGGUGGGAUGUGGUGGCACAGUCCCUGCCUGGGGACAGACACCUGGCAGCCACACAAACCACUGGUGCCUUCCCAGUCCCUGAGCUGGGGUUCUCCUCUGGGAUGAUCUCCAGGCUGAGCUGCCAGCCAGCCUGAGCUCUCCCUGGCUUUCUCCUGCUGCCAGGACAGUUUCCUCUUCCCUCAGUUUGUCACUUUGCUGUGACAGGCACAAACAACCCAGCUUCCAGAUGAAGGCAAUACUGACAGCAGGAAGUCGGGGACGAUUUGCAUUAUCCUCGUUCAAAUUUGGCUGGAACUGUCAGGUUUCAUAACGAGUGUUUAGGACAGAACCCCAGCUCAGGGUGGGGAGGACAAGUAGGAGUGAUAAACACAGAUGGCUCUUGUCGUGCAGCUCCUGUUCAGGAAGUCUGGAAAAUUCACUGCUGGUGAGGUGAGGUGAAGCUGAGGAUCUCUUUGGGAUGGGCAGUGGGGGAAGGUGCUGAAACCGGAGCUUGUAUGGAAUGAAUGACACUUUAUAAAACUGUGAUUUUUUGAAGUUAAUGUUUUUGACCUGCAUUUUCACAGGGAAAAAAAAUAA